rnacentral:rRNA from 1 species
GACGAACGCUGGCGGCGUGCUUAACACAUGCAAGUCGAACGGAAAGGCCCUGCUUUUGUGGAGUGCUCGAGUGGCGAACGUGUGAGUAACACGUGAGUAACCUGCCCUUGACUUUGGGAUAACUUCAGGAAACUGGGGCUAAUACCUGAUAGGAGCUCCUGCUGCAUGGUGGGGGUUGGAAAGUUUCGGCGGUUGGGGAUGGACUCGCGGCUUAUCAGCUUGUUGGUGGGGUAGUGGCUUACCAAGGCUUUGACGGGUAGCCGGCCUGAGAGGGUGACCGGCCACAUUGGGACUGAGAUACGGCCCAGACUGCUACGGGAGGCAGCAGUGGGGAAUAUUGCACAAUGGGCGGAAGCCUGAUGCAGCAACGCCGCGUGCGGGAUGACGGCCUUCGGGUUGUAAACCGCUUUCGCCUGUGACGAAGCGUGAGUGACGGUAAUGGGUAAAGAAGCACCGGCUAACUACGUG